ACAAAUUCUUAGGAAGACUUUGUUAAGAAACGUAAGAUGAUAAAUUGUUGGGACAAAGACAAGAAUAUAAAAUAAAUAUUAUUUAUUCAAAUCUAGAGAGAAACACAGUAACACACCAUGACAAACCUUCUUAAGAACUAUAGCCCCUUAUCACUUCAAUACACAACUCAUGGAAUAGAGUUUCACAUGUCCACCACCACUCAGCAUGUAUAUAUAUGCUGAUGUGGAGCCAAGUGCCAUAUAAAUAACCAUAUCCAAAAGCCAUACCAUAAUAACAAUAAUAAACUUUAAUAUAGGAAAGGAAACUAAAGAAAUAAUUAAUAGAAAAGCUUUUCAACCUUGAUGACAUGCAAAAUGGUAGACCCGAUCCCAACAUCUAGAACCAUUAAUUUAAACUUCCGUUUUUUACCAGUUCCAGUCACACCCAUUCCAUUGGUUUAAGCUUCAGGAUUCUCAACUGGAACUUCCUCUGCUGCUGGAGCUUCCACUGAUUCAACUGUUUUGUUCUCAAUCACAUCCUCUGCAGUUGCUGCUGGUGGUGGUGCUGACUCAUUUUCAGUAGUUGCUAUUGGCUCCUCCACUACUGCUUCCGCCUCUUCCUUCACUUCUUCAACCGAUUCCUCAGUUUCUUUAGGUGCUUCUAAGUUCUCUUCCUUUGCUUCCUCUGUUACCACUUCCUUGUUCUCAACUUCAAGUGGAUCUUGGGUUUCGGGAGCAUCUACAGCUUCUCCUGCUGCAGUUGUUUCUGUUGGUUUUUCGGUUGUUUCUUCUGUUGGUACUUCGGCGGCAGGAACUUCGGAUUCUGGUUGUGCCGCAGCAGGAACUUCAGUGGCUGGUUGCUGUUCUUGAAUUGUUUCCUCUGUCUUGAUUAUCUCGGGUGUUGUUUCAUUUUCUUGCACUGUUGUUGGUGGUGCUUGGUGUGCAACCUGCAAAUAAUUACCAUCUUCAUUUAGCAAAAUCUUGUAGUCUAGUAUACACAAAUCAAACAUCCAAUAAAUAAAAAACUAUAUAUUAUCUAAUGUGUUACAAAAAUAGUGUUAAUUAGUAUGACAUUACAAAGUAGACUAGACUAAUUACAGAAAAAACUUAAGAUUUUGUACAAAUAGAAGACUUGAGUAUUAAACUGUUAAAGAUCUUUGCUUUGGGUACAAGAAUAAAAAGGUCUACAUAAGAUGCUUAGCAGUAUAUUAUAUUAUUUAGUAUUAU
rnacentral:lncRNA from 1 species